GGCGCCGUGGCAGAGCGGCCCAUUGCACUCGGCGCGCGGAAGGCUCCGCGCGACGACUGAUGAGGUCCGGGCGGGCCCUGCUCGUCCUCGUCCGCGGGUUCGAAUCCCGUCGGCGCC
rnacentral:tRNA from 1 species